AUGGAAACCAGAGGAGCUAGGUCAAAACGAGGGAUUUCAAGUCGCGAUCCUUCACCGGAGUUGAGCAAAAGUCGACCGCGAACGAAACGGGACCAGUCACCGAAGAGCUGCAGCGGUGACAACGGGGCGAGGGCGGCACCUUGUGCGGGGCAAUCGGUUGCGUCAUCCGGCGAGGUAAACAAGCCCGUGGGCGCUGGGCCAGGGGCUGGCGGUGGCGGUGGUGGUGGAUGCUCUAACUUAAAUGGGAUGAUCGAAAAGGACAAGUGGAUGGCUAAGAUGGAAGACCCGUUGGAGAAACAGCGAAUCAGGGAGCGGCUGAGAGCGAUGCCUUCUGGGAAAAAAGACGGAGAAGAAAAGCAACGUGGUAGGGGGCCCAUGGUUGUAAGACCUCCUUCCCCUUCAUCCCGCCAAAUAAGUUCGGGUGCGUCGUCUGGGUCCAAGGUUGAUGUUGCUAAAAGACCCUCGACUCUCCGAACAAAACGUUCGCCUUCACCCAGACAGACACCAGAGUCUGUCUUUGCCCAACAGGUUGUUUGCCGGUCUGGUUCCCCGACUUCUCCAAGGAUAGCCAGACACAGAUCCAGAAUAUCCCCAGUGAAUUCGCGACCUCCUUCCCCGCCUUUCUCCUCACUGAAGCGAAGCCCCUCCCCCUCCCUGAAGCGAAGCCCCUCCCCCCAGGGGGAGAUCAGCAUCGCCAUAGCGGAGGAGAUUCUCCAGAAGAGAGUUGAGAGGGCGCUGCACGCCAGGCUGUACCUCCUGCAGCAGAGUGGACCCAACUCAUUUGUGAUUGGCGGAGACUCGCCCAGUCACAAAUACAAGGUCACGAUUGGCCCACAGAACUGCAACUGUACGAAAGGGCCGUUCUGCCUACAUGUGCUGUUUGUUAUGCUGCGAGUCCUACAGGUGCCGGAAGGCGAUCCCAUUCUUUGGAGCCGAACACUUAUGAAUUACGAGGUGGAGGCGCUCUUCAAAAACUACCAAGCCCGACAGAAGAAACGUCUGAAACGCUCCAGCAAAUCAACCAGUCAGCACGAGAGGAAGUCUUCCCAUGAUGCGUCAGCAACGACAAGUACGAGCACGUGCACUACGUCUCUCAACAGCACAACAAGUAGCGACCAGAGCAACAAGGAGGAGGAUUUGUGUCCAAUCUGCCUCUUGGAGAUGGUCGACGGGGAGAGCCUGGUAGUCUGCCAAGACGGUUGCCGCAACCGACUGCACCACCACUGUGUAGCCAUCUGGGCGGCAGAAUGCGAGAGGCAGAACGAUCCCCUCAAUUGUCCCCUGUGCCGCACCAAGUGGGACACACCCCCCGAGGAUGGCAGUGAUGCACCCCCAAACACACGGAAGCCGUCCCCAGCCCAGUCCCCAAGGCUGAUGCGAAGGGCCAGCCGGCAGAAUUCGGAGGCCGGGGAGCUGCCCCAAGAAACACAGUCCUGGAUUGAGGUGUUUUCAGAGGACCUGAUUCGUCCGUUGUUUUCGAGGGAGUGGUCGUUACGAGAGAGCGCUUUCCACCAAUUGAGGCCCGCCAUACGUGCCAAGAUCCAGCCACACGAGGGCGCUGUUUACACACCAGAAGACGAAGCCGUCAUCAGGACUUGUUGUAGGAUCAUAGCCCUGGGCUGCUCGGAUCCGGUCUACAAAGUCUACGUGGCUGCUUUGAAAGGGCUGCGCACCAUGCUGUCGUGUAUUCAGUGUUUCAACGAGGCGGACCGCCAUCGGCUGAGAGAGGAACUCAGACAUGUCGUAGAGCCCAUCCUCUUCAAAUGUGCUGACGGCAACAGGCGUACCAGUCAACUUUCCAUCUCGGCUUUGAUUGAGCUCAGCAAGGGUCAAGCAGGGGAGCUGGCGGUUGGACGAGAAGUCUCAUCCUCUGAUUUUGUUGGUCUUGGUGCUGUGGAGUAUGUGGAGGAGUGCAUCUUUGACUCGUCUCUGUCCUUUGAGCCGGCCUGGCAACCCCAUCUUGGCCGCCUGUGCGUCCUGGAGAAGCUCAUGAAGGAGUUCCCCGAGGAGUACGUCCCUAGCGAGGAGGAUGGCUCGCUGCAGGCCGCCAACUGCGACCACUUGAUGCGGGUGCUUCGGUUCGCCUUGCAGGCGGCCCGCAACAACCACAGCCGCAUCUGCAAACUGGGCAAGAGAGUGUUUGUCAACAUCGCCCGCAACACGGUCCACAUGCCCGUCAUGUACGAGAAGGUCUGCGACUCGUUGCUGGAGCUGGAAGCAGACCUCCAGCACGGGCUGCGGCGACGCCUGACCAACAUCCUGGACGACUUUGAGGCGUCGAGGACCGUUGCUGAGCGAUUACAGGAAACCGAUCUGCACAUAUACGGUAGAGUAGUUCAGGACAGUGAAGUGAGCUCCGUGCAUGAUGAGGACGAGCUUCUUCACUUUGCAGGAGAACAGGACGUUAAGACACCGGAGAGGAAACUUAGCGACAACAAAGAUCCCAAAUCCCUUGCAGUUGUUUCGGAAGGUAUCCUUACCCCACCUCCGACCCCACCGUCGCAUAACUCUUCGCAAUCUCAAAGGCCAACGUCCAAAAUCCCGCAGUUGAAGCAAGACAGGUAUGCCUCCAACAGACCACACCUUGCCUUCAAGGGGGACAACAGGCCCAAUUUAAGCGAUUUCUCGCCCAUCCAGAGAGAAGCUGGAGCUUCAAAGACUGAGGAUCUCUCCGACCUAUCCCUGUCCAUUUCUCCGUGCUCGCCCACCGACCGGGCCAUCACGUUCAAGAAUGAGAUCGCCACGGCCAGCACGCUGUCCCCGAAACACGUGCCCGGCGGCCUGAGCUGCAAGGAGCAGAUUGAGAUGGAGGAGGCGGAGGCCAUCGUGGUUGCCAUGGAGACAUCCAUCACCCAGAAUCCUCUCCCCAUCGUGCCAGGGUUGUCUCCUGGGAAGGACCAAGAUGUGAUUGUUCAUAUACAGAGUGAGGAUGGGGAAACACCCAGAGAAAAGUGCUACGUGGAGAAGGAGCAUUGGGUGAAGGGCGUCUUACUUGGGACCGGGGCCUUCUCCAGUUGCUACCAAUCCAGAGAUAUCAGGACAGGAACCCUAAUGGCUGUCAAGCAGGUAUCGUUUAUUCGCAACACAAAAUGCGAACAGGACAAAGUUGUGGAGUCUUUGAUGCGGGAAAUCAACCUGAUGAAGGAGUUGGAUCAUCCAAACCUGGUCAGACUGCUGGGUGCGACGAGACACAACGGCCACUUCAACGUCUUUGUCGAAUGGAUGGCCGGUGGUUCUAUUUCCUCGGUUCUGUCAGCUUACGGUGCUUUUGAGGAGCCAGUGGUUCUAAAGUACACACGGCAGUUGUUGACUGGGGUUGCCUUUCUGCACAGCAAGCAUGUCAUACACAGGGACCUCAAAGGUGCUAAUCUUCUGCUGGACAGCACCGGCCAGCACUUGCGCAUUGCGGACUUUGGCACGGCGGCUCAGAUGGCCUCAAAGGUCACGGCGGAAGGAGAGUUCAAAGGUCAACUCAUCGGCACCAUAGCCUUCAUGUCACCAGAGGUUUUGCGUGGAGAGCCGUACGGUCGAACAUGCGAUGUUUGGAGCAUCGGUUGCUGUAUGGUAGAGAUGGCGACGGCUCAUCCGCCAUGGAACGCCUCAGCAAUCUCCAACCACCUACAACUCAUCUUUAAGAUUGCGAGCGCAGAAGGACCGCCGCCCAUUCCGGACGAGAUGUCGACAGGCACCAGAGAUCUGAUGCUGCGAUGCUUUGAGCACAAAGCAGCAAACAGGGAAAGCGCCGCCGAUCUACUGAAGCACGCCGUCUUCACCAGGUUAUGAAAAAUUGGGUGAAUUUCAGGCUAGCGGCUAGCAGGCUAUAGGACGGACGCCGCAGAAUGCAGCUGUCAACCUAAGGCAGUUAAAUUGCAGUAUUAAAAUGGGUUAAUUUUGGUGCUCGUUCUUUUGAAAAAUAUCACCAACACUUUGGACUAUGGGCUCCGUGCGCCGACGAAAGAGGGCGCCCUUUUACCUAGCAACAACGUCCCACGGGCGGGACAUUUCGCUGGUUGACACGCACCGUUCCUUGUGUGUGACGCACGUACACCAGGGGAUUUGUACCAUGUACACGCAGUGGCCGUGCUUCGCGGCAAAUGAAUUGCAGUCAGGCAAGGUGGCGUCGGUCGGUCGCCCCUAACUGUACUCUCUGUGCCGGUGAGGGGGUACUUGUGAACGGAGCGGAUAAGUACUGAAAUGGUGCUUUUACCUCACCUAACCUAAAGGAUCAACUUUUGGAAAUGUUUACCAAGAAAAUGUCUUCUACAGUCACUACCAAAACUUGUUUGUAUUCACUGUGUAUUCAAGAAUUUCAAGAGGAUUUGGGCAGGGUAUGACAGAAUCGAAUGUAAAGUUAAUUACUUUGUAAUAUUCCUUACUUGAUUCCUGCCCAUAGGGCUUGUGAGCUUUUGCCAUGAAGGAAAGUGAUUCGUUUUAAGUCAAACAUGAGGUUAUAUUUAAAUAUUUUAUUUGUCCCCUUGGGGUCACUGCCCAAUGGAAUUGUAAGGUGAUACUUUGUGGCCAGCUACUUAUAUUAAGUGAUAAAUUCAAACAUGAGGUUAUAUUUAAAUAUUUUAUUUGUCCCCUUGGGGUCACUGCCCAAUGGAAUUGUAAGGUGAUACAUUGUGGCCAGCUACUUACUAUUAAGUGAUAAAUUCAAACAUGAGGUUAUAUUUAAAUAUUUUAUUUGUCCCCUUGGGGUCACUGCCCAAUUUGGAAUUGUAAGGUGAUACUUUGUGGCCAGCUACUUACUGUUAAGUGAUAAAUUCAAAUAUGAGGUUAUAUUUUAAUAUAGAUUUUCCCGGCUAUGUUAAAACGUUUAUCAUUUGAAUUCACCGUUUC
rnacentral:misc_RNA from 1 species